UACGUAGGGUGCAGGCGUUAAUCGGAAUUACUGGGCGUAAAGCGUGCGCAGGCGGUCUUUUAAGUCAGAUGUGAAAUCCCCGGGCUUAACCUGGGAACUGCGUUUGAAACUGGAAGGCUUGAGUGUGGCAGAGGGGGGUGGAAUUCCACGUGUAGCAGUGAAAUGCAUAGAGAUGCGGAGGAAUACCAGUGGCGAAGGCGACUUCCUGGACCUUAACUGACGCUGAAGCGCGAAAGCAUGGGGAGCGAACGGG
rnacentral:rRNA from 1 species